CCUACGGGAGGCAGCAGUGGGGAAUAUUGCACAAUGGGGGAAACCCUGAUGCAGCGACGCCGCGUGAGCGAUGAAGUAUUUCGGUAUGUAAAGCUCUAUCAGCAGGGAAGAAAAUGACGGUAUCUGACUAAGAAGCCCCGGCUAACUACGUGCCAGCAGCCGCGGUAAUACGUAGGGGGCAAGCGUUAUCCGGAUUUACUGGGUGUAAAGGGAGCGUAGACGGGGGAGCAAGGCAGAGGUGAAAGCCCGGGGCUCAACCACUGUACUGCAUUUGGAACUGGGCUGCUAGAGUGUCGGAGAGGCAGGCGGAAUUCUUGGUGUAGCGGUGAAAUGCGUAGAUAUUAGGAGGAACACCAGUGGCGAAGGCGGCCUGCUGGACGAUGACUGACGUUGAGGCGCGAAAGCGUGGGGAGCAAACAGGAUUAGAUACCCGUGUAGUC
rnacentral:rRNA from 1 species